AUUGAACGCUGGCGGCGUGCUUAACGCAUGCAAGUCGAACGAGAACGGGUUAUAGCUUGCUAUAAUCGUCAGCUAAGUGGCGCACGGGUGAGUAAUGUAUAGGUAAUAUGCCUCUUACUAAGGGAUAACAAAUGGAAACGUUUGCUAAUACCUUAUACUCCUUAUUAACAGAAGUUAAUAAGGGAAAGAUUUAUUGGUAAGAGAUUAGCCUGUAUUGUAUCAGUUAGUUGGUGGGGUAAUGGCCUACCAAGACUAUGACACAUAACUGGUUUGAGAGGAUGAUCAGUCACACUGGAACUGAGACACGGUCCAGACUCCUACGGGAGGCAGCAGUGGGGAAUAUUGCACAAUGGACGAAAGUCUGAUGCAGCAACGCCGCAUGGAGGAUGACACAUUUCGGUGCGUAAACUCCUUUUAUAUGAGAAGAUAAUGACGGUAUUAUAUGAAUAAGCACCGGCUAACUCCGUGCCAGCCGCCGCCGUAAAAC
rnacentral:rRNA from 1 species